CUGCAGAAUGCACACCCCAGGCUUCUCUGAAAUUAUAGAUUCAUGACAAAAGCCCCAUUGCUUGUGCCAAAAUGAUGAUGUUGGUAUUGCAGUUCAGGUCUUCUUUUCACUCCAUGGCUCAGGUGCAUCAAUCAUUGCCACAUCU